GAUGAACGCUGGCGGCGUGCCUAAUACAUGCAAGUCGAACGAAAAGACGCGGAGUUUGCUCCUCUGACGUUAGCGGCGGGCGGGAGAGAAACGCGUGUAUCACCUCCCUAUCAGUCUGGGAUAACUUCGGGAAACCGGAGCUAAUACGGGAUAAUAUAUUGAACCGCGUGGUUCAAUAGUGAAAGACGGUGUUGCGGUCUCUUAUAGAUGGAUCCGCGCCGCAUUAGCUAGUUGGUAAGGUAACGGCUUACCAAGGCGACGAUGCGUAGCCGACCUGAGAGGGUGAUCGGCCACACUGGAACUGAGACACGGUCCAGACUCCUACGGGAGGCAGCAGUAGGGAAUCUUCCGCAAUGGGCGAAAGCCUGACGGAGCAACGCCGCGUGAGUGAUGAAGGUCUUCGGAUCGUAAAACUCUGUUAUUAGGGAAGAACAAAUGUGUAAGUAACCAUGCACGUCUUGACGGUACCGAAUCAGAAAGCCACGGCUAACUACGUG
rnacentral:rRNA from 1 species